UGCUAAUACAUGCAAGUCGAACGAACUCUGGUAUUGAUUGGUGCUUGCAUCAUGAUUUACAUUUGAGUGAGUGGCGAACUGGUGAGUAACACGUGGGAAACCUGCCCAGAAGCGGGGGAUAACACCUGGAAACAGAUGCUAAUACCGCAUAACAACUUGGACCGCAUGGUCCGAGCUUGAAAGAUGGCUUCGGCUAUCACUUUUGGAUGGUCCCGCGGCGUAUUAGCUAGAUGGUGGGGUAACGGCUCACCAUGGCAAUGAUACGUAGCCGACCUGAGAGGGUAAUCGGCCACAUUGGGACUGAGACACGGCCCAAACUCCUACGGGAGGCAGCAGUAGGGAAUCUUCCACAAUGGACGAAAGUCUGAUGGAGCAACGCCGCGUGAGUGAAGAAGGGUUUCGGCUCGUAAAACUCUGUUGUUAAAGAAGAACAUAUCUGAGAGUAACUGUUCAGGUAUUGACGGUAUUUAACCAGAAAGCCACGGCUAACUACGUGCCAGCAGCCGCGGUAAUACGUAGGUGGCAAGCGUUGUCCGGAUUUAUUGGGCGUAAAGCGAGCGCAGGCGGUUUUUUAAGUCUGAUGUGAAAGCCUUCGGCUCAACCGAAGAAGUGCAUCGGAAACUGGGAAACUUGAGUGCAGAAGAGGACAGUGGAACUCCAUGUGUAGCGGUGAAAUGCGUAGAUAUAUGGAAGAACACCAGUGGCGAAGGCGGCUGUCUGGUCUGUAACUGACGCUGAGGCUCGAAAGUAUGGGUAGCAAACAGGAUUAGAUACCCUGGUAGUCCAUACCGUAAACGAUGAAUGCUAAGUGUUGGAGGGUUUCCGCCCUUCAGUGCUGCAGCUAACGCAUUAAGCAUUCCGCCUGGGGAGUACGGCCGCAAGGCUGAAACUCAAAGGAAUUGACGGGGGCCCGCACAAGCGGUGGAGCAUGUGGUUUAAUUCGAAGCUACGCGAAGAACCUUACCAGGUCUUGACAUACUAUGCAAAUCUAAGAGAUUAGACGUUCCCUUCGGGGACAUGGAUACAGGUGGUGCAUGGUUGUCGUCAGCUCGUGUCGUGAGAUGUUGGGUUAAGUCCCGCAACGAGCGCAACCCUUAUUAUCAGUUGCCAGCAUUAAGUUGGGCACUCUGGUGAGACUGCCGGUGACAAACCGGAGGAAGGUGGGGAUGACGUCAAAUCAUCAUGCCCCUUAUGACCUGGGCUACACACGUGCUACAAUGGAUGGUACAACGAGUUGCGAACUCGCGAGAGUAAGCUAAUCUCUUAAAGCCAUUCUCAGUUCGGAUUGUAGGCUGCAACUCGCCUACAUGAAGUCGGAAUCGCUAGUAAUCGCGGAUCAGCAUGCCGCGGUGAAUACGUUCCCGGGCCUUGUACACACCGCCCGUCACACCAUGAGAGUUUGUAACACCCAAAGUCGGUGGGGUAACCUUUUAGGA
rnacentral:rRNA from 1 species